AAGCGGAGGAAAAGAAACUAACAAGGAUUCCCCUAGUAACGGCGAGCGAACCGGGAAUAGCUCAAAUGGGAAAUCUAGGCGUCAUCAGGGCGCCCGAGUUGUAAUCCAGGGAAGCUUUUUACACACCGGGACGGAGUCCAAGUCCCUGGGAACAGGGUAUCAAAGAGGGUGACAAUCCCGUACUUGACACGGCCACCGGUGCUAUGUGAUAUGUUUUCAAAGAGUCGAGUUGUUUGGGAAUGCAGUUCAAAACGGGUGGUAAAUUCCAUCUAAGGCUAAAUAUUGGUGAGAGACCGAUAGCGAACAAGUACCGUGAGGGAAAGAUGAAAAGCACUUUGGAAAGAGAGUUAAACAGUACGUGAAAUUGUUGAAAGGGAAACGAUUGAAGUCAGUCGUGUCCGGGGGGUUCAGCCGGUUCUGCCGGUGCAUUCCUCUCGGACGGGUCGGCAUCAUUUUUGACCGGCGGAAAAGGGCGUGAGGAAGGUGGCUCCCUCGGGUGUGUUAUAGCCUCGCGUCGCGCGCGUCGGUCAAGACCGAGGAUCGCGGCCCGCCCUCGCGGGCCGGGGUUUGCCCUCGUGCGAGCUUAGGAUGUUGACAUAAUGGCUUUAAAC
rnacentral:rRNA from 1 species